rnacentral:lncRNA from 1 species
UUGACAAAGAUAUGAGUCAUCCACAGCUGCCAAAGCAAAUUGAGGAUGCGAAAAUUGCAAUUUUGACAUGUCCUUUUGAGCCUCCUAAGCCAAAGACUAAGCAUAAGGUUGACAUUGAUACUGUGGAGAAGUUUCAAACUUUACGCCUACAGGAGCAGAAGUACUUUGAUGACAUGGUCCAGAAGUGCAAGGAUGUUGGUGCUACCUUAGUUAUCUGCCAGUGGGGUUUUGAUGAUGAAGCUAAUCAAAUAUUAAUGCAUAGAAAUUUGCCCGCUGUUAGAUGGGUAGGUGGUGUGGAAUUGGAGCUGAUAGCAAUUGCCACAGGUGGGAGAAUAGUACCAAGGUUUCAAGAGUUGACAUCUGAAAAACUUGGCAAGGCUGGUAUUGUUCGGGAGAAAGCUUUCGGUACAACAAAGGAUAGAAUGAUUUACAUUGAGCAUUGUGCAAAUUCAAGAGCAGUAACUAUAUUUAUCCGUGGUGGCAAUAAGAUGAUGAUAGUGGAGACAAAACGUAGUAUCCAUGAUGCUUUAUGUGUUGCUAGAAAUCUUAUUCGCAACAAUUCAAUUGUGUAUGGUGGUGGUUCAGCAGAGAUUUCUUGCUCAAAUGCUGUUGAAGCGGCUGCUGAUAAACAUCCAGGAGUUGAACAGUAAGCAAUCAGGGCAUUUGCAGAUGCUUUGGAUUCUGUCCUAAUGGCACUUGCUAAGAACAGUGGUCUUCAGCCUAUUGAAACUCUAUCUGCUGUUAAGUCUCAGCAAAUUAAGGAGAAUAUUCCCUGCUGUGGAAUAGAUUGUAAUGAUGUUGGCACAAAUGACCAUAAAUCCUUGAACAGGAUUUCUAUUGAAUCCCAGCCAAUAUACAGAAAGAACCAAACCUUUUUCUGCUUUAUAUCUACUAGUAAGCAUCUUUUCCAAGGCAGUAUUAAAUUCAAUCUUAUGCUUGAUGACACUCAACACCGCCGAAGAAAUUCAUAUCUUCAUGGCAACAAUCACUAAUAUUUUUACGAGAGAAAUUCUGAAGGAUGACUUGAACUAAUAAUAUCACCUUUUAAAGGAUAAAAGUGUCUUCUUUCCUUCAAUACUCAAUGUUGGAAAGGUUCCCCAAGCUUUACUAGCUCAUAGGAUGGCCUUGAAUUUUGUUUUCUGAUCCUAGGUCUGCUUAUCAAAGAUCCAUGUCUAGUUUAAAAUUAAAGUUUGGUGUGUUUAUAGCCUUAAUCUAAAUUAUAAGAUCGUCGGUUAAAACUAAUUCAAAUUUUUUGAGACCAGAAUGAAGUUGCUGACUUAAAUGGAUGAUAGUGAUAUAAUUCAAAUACUUAUUAUUUUAUACACACUAGUGAUAUAAUAAAGACUGAUUUCUUUUACAUGUGUCCACCAAAAAUCCUUCUGUUAUGGUAGUAGUUGGUUUCUUUAAUUUGUUAUUUGAGCAAAAUGUAACUGGUUUGUUCAGUGCAUUGAAUCAAUGAGGAUGCAUUUGAAUUAAGCUGCAAUUCAGAAGAGUGAAGUUUGAUACUUAUUUUCAUUUGUAAAAUUUUGUAAUGCAGAUUUCCUUGAAACUCUAUGGAGGGAUGUUGAUAUGAACAGGCACCAUCACAAUCCUAAUGAGGAGUUGAAUCUUGUAAUUGUAUCCCAUGGUCUAGCUAGUCGAGUUUUUCUAAUGAAGUGGUUCAAGUGGACAGUGGAACAAUUCGAGUACCUAAACAAUCUAGGGAAUUGUGAGUUUCGAGUUAUGGAAUUAGGGGCGGGUGGUGAAUAUAGCCUAGCAGUCCAUCAUACUGAUGAAGAGAUGCUAGAAUGGGGUAUGUCCCCUGAGAUGAUCGCUGACCAAAAAUGGCGAGCUAAUGCUAACAGGGGUACUUUGAAUGAUCAUUGCCCUUGGUACCUUGAUGCUUUCUUUGACCAUUUAGCGGAUUCAAAUGACAAAGAUGAUGAAGAUGUGAAGUCAAACAACUCGUAUCUCCCCUUAGCAUGACAUUGAUAAUGUGUAUUCGUUCCAAUUCUGUUGUACUGUUCAUUUGGUUAACUGAUAGAAAUGUUUGUAAGCUCUUUUCAAGUUGCUGUUACAAUUUUAGGCCCGGAGACAUUAUCAGUGUCAAUUUCUUGUAAAUUUGAAACUUCCAAUUGUAUAACAAUCAUUUGAUAUCAAGGAUGAAGUAUGAAUUUAGUUUUUGACUGGUAAAAUUAUGAUUUUUAAACAGGAUGAAGAUUGAUUUAGUUUUGACAGGGUCAAGUUACAAGUUUUAGACCAGUUUUCACUGCUGAGGUCGUUGUUUUAACUGACGUAUAAUGGAAGGUAAUUGCAGAGUUGAAAGCACUUUUGCAUUGAAAUUCACCUUAUCAAGUUCUCUCGAGUCUAAUUCUGAAAACUUUGACCAAUGACCAUUAUUUUGACAUGGAAUGAAAAAUUGCCACGUAUAAUUUUUUAAUAUCUAAGUUAAAAUUUUAAGAUAUUGAAUUGAUUCAAAGCUUAUAAGUCGAUUAAAUUGACUUAUAAACAUUCAAAAUGCUUAUGAGCCAAAAUCAACAAAAGUCAUUAGUAAUCAACCUCAACUUAUUAUUUCUUCGGAUUAUAAGCACUUUUAGUUUAUCGAGCCUUCACUCUUAUGCAAUAGUUUGCAAACCACACAAGAGAGGUAAUUCGCACUAGGUAAACCCGGUGCGACAAGCUCGACCCAGAAAAUGAAUCCCUUGCUUUCAGUGGCAAGAGAUUUCAAACUUGAGACCUCCAAUAUGAAAGUCUCAAGCCCAAACCACUAGGUUACUCGAAGAGUCAUUUUAAAAUGGCAUAGCAUAACACCCUAUAGACUAAAUUAGCAAUAAAUAACCCACUUUUAAUUUUUUAGCAAGAAAAAAACUUGUUUUAUUAUUUGGCAUUGAAUAGUUAUUUUUCUCUUUUUUUUUAAAUGUAUUUUUGUUCUCCUUAUUUUUCUGAAACACACGUUUGCUUGCUGUUUUUUUUUUUCUUGAAAAGAAAAAAAUUAUUGUUUUAUUAUCCCUAUUUUUAUCACUUUUUUUAUUUUGUCAACACUUUUAAAAUAAAGUUCUUCUCUUUUUUGUCUCCUUUUUCUUUUUCCAUAAUUCUUUUCAUACGUAUAUUUGAUUCUCACCCAAAUUUUCAAUUCUUCUCCUUAAUUCAAUCUGUUUAUGAAAAUCAGAUAUAACAUUAUGUUUUUUCAUGGAUACUUCUAAAAAUCAUCUUUAUAUAUAAUCUUGUUCUUGUCCAAUUAAUUGUUGAAUUUCAUGAUUUGUAGAAUUGAAGUUUUUUCAAUUUUGUUUUUGUGAAAAUUUAGGUUAUUCAACCUUCUUUUGUUUUCUUUCUAAAAGCCUUUUCAUAUGUAUAUUUUCUUCUCUUCUGAAUUUUCUCUUAUUCUCCUUAAUUUACUUUGUCUAUGCAAAUCAGAUAUAACUGUAUGUUUAUCGAUUGAUCCUUUCAAUAAUUUCUUUUAAUAUAUAAUUAUGUAGCAUUUCUUGCCCCAUUAAUUUUGAAAUUUCAUGAUUUUUGGAACUAAAGUUUUAAAACUUUUUUUGGCGAAAAUUCAGGUAAUAGUUUUUGAAAUUUUUGUUCUCAAUUUCAUGGGUAAAAAAGAUUCUCGUAAGAUCUUCGUAAAAAAUCAGAAUGUUGAUUUUAAUGAAUACAACCCAAUGUAUACUAAUGAAUUCCAAUCUCAAUUUAAAUUAAAGUAUACAAGUUAUUAUGUGAAUACAAAUCACUGAAUACACGAUGAAUACGAACUAAUGUAUACAUAGUGCAGUUACCGUAUACAUAAACAAAAUCACGUGUACAAUUAAUGAAUAAAAUUUAUAUAUGUAUCAUAUUAAUUUCAUUCUUGUAUACAUUAUAGUAAUACGUAUGAUUGAUGGUAAUACUCUUAUGUAUACAAUAUAAAGUUUAUGUAUACAUGCUAAAAUUACUGUAUACAUCAAUAAAAUUUACACGUCUAUUUUUAUGAAUAUUUUUUGUGUAUACAUAUUUUUUCUUAUGUAUACAUUAUGUAAUCGCAACUUUAAUUAUUGUAUAAUUUAUGCAUAUGUAUAAUUACAGUUCCUAAUAAAAUGUCAUUUAAUAUUAUUUGAUUAAUUAUGUCGAUUAUGUGAUAAUUAAUACACGUUAGAGCAUUAAUAAUACAUUUUCUUACCUUAAAAGUAGUCACAAUCUUUUAAUAAGUUAUUUAAAGAAUUUGAAAAAAAUUAUUCCUUAAAAGUUGGUGUAACCUUUUUUUAAUGUGUUAAUUAAUAAAUAUAUAUAUUUCACUUCUUAAAAGUAGGCAAUCGGUUUUGUAAAAAACUAAUUAUUGUUGAUUGGUAAAAUAAAUAAUUCAUAAAAUUACAAUCAAAUAUAUCUUUAUUUUUCUGUAAAUUGGUCAAUAUUUUUUUUUAUAGACGGUUAAAUAAAGUUGAAUUUGAGAAUUUAAAGAAAUUGAUAAGCUAACUUCCUUAAUUAUAGGAGUUAAAAAUAAGGAAGAAAAAAUAAUUCCACAUCUCCUUAAUUAAUGCAUAUUGGUUGCACAUGAUUAAAAGAAAAAAACUAUAAAAAGUUGGUUUUAUUUUUUUUAAGCUCAUACAUGCUAAUUUUAUUUUAGGCUAUUAAUUGCUAAUUAAUAUUGGGCUAUAUAGGGAAAAUGCAUAAGUACCCCCCAGCCUAUGCCCAAAAUCUCUGAGACACACCUAACCUUUACUAAGGUCCUAUUACCCCCCCGAACUUAUUUUUUAAUUAAUUUUUUACCACUUUUUGGCUUACGUGGCAAUAUAAACCAAAUAGGUUGAAAGCUUUGUUCAACACGCGCCGGGCCCCACUUUUUCAACUUUCUAAAAAGUAGCUUUUACACUUCCCAAAAUUUCAAAAAGCUAUCCUAUUAUUUAUAAUCUACUUUGUUAAUAUAUUUUUAGUUAGUUUAUAGUUUUCAAUGUUUAUAUAUUUUAUUUUAAAUUUGGGCUUGUAAAAUUUUGUAAAUAUUAUAUAUAUAAUUUUAUUUUAUUUAUAGAUAAAAAAAUUUNNNNNNNNNNNNNNNNNNNNNNNNNNNNNNNNNNNNNNNNNNNNNNNNNNNNNNNNNNNNNNNNNNNNNNNNNNNNNNNNNNNNNNNNNNNNNNNNNNNNNNNNNNNNNNNNNNNNNNNNNNNNNNNNNNNNNNNNNNNNNNNNNNNNNNNNNNNNNNNNNNNNNNNNNNNNNNNNNNNNNNNNNNNNNNNNNNNNNNNNNNNNNNNNNNNNNNNNNNNNNNNNNNNNNNNNNNNNNNNNNNNNNNNNNNNNNNNNNNNNNNNNNNNNNNNNNNNNNNNNNNNNNNNNNNNNNNNNNNNNNNNNNNNNNNNNNNNNNNNNNNNNNNNNNNNNNNNNNNNNNNNNNNNNNNNNNNNNNNNNNNNNNNNNNNNNNNNNNNNNNNNNNNNNNNNNNNNNNNNNNNNNNNNNNNNNNNNNNNNNNNNNNNNNNNNNNNNNNNNNNNNNNNNNNNNNNNNNNNNNNNNNNNNNNNNNNNNNNNNNNNNNNNNNNNNNNNNNNNNNNNNNNNNNNNNNNNNNNNNNNNNNNNNNNNNNNNNNNNNNNNNNNNNNNNNNNNNNNNNNNNAAAAAACCCGAAAGAACCAACUAAAACCGAAAUCGAAAAAACCGACUUUGCGUGGUUUGAUUUGGUAUUUAGAUUUAAUAAACCGACAUAAUUGGUUUAGGUUUUUUUUAAUGAAAAACCAAACCAAACCGACCUAUGUACACCCCUACUUCUAAGUCAUCAAGAAUCGUGGUUGAGUUCAAAGGUUAGUUUUUUCUUGAUUUUAUUUUGUUAGCUUUUCGAAGAAAGGAGCAAUUUAACUUAUGAUAAUGGAGGUUUAUUUUUUCAAACAUGAAGAACAAUAAUAAAGAAGACGAAAAUUUAGUUAAUAUUUAUUUUUUCCAAGUUUAUUUUAACACAUGACCAAUUUUUAUUGGUCAGUGCUGCCAAAAAGCUGCACCCACGCGCUUAGCAUAGGUGAAAUCACGGACUCAGCCACGUAGGCCGAAAAAGUGGUAAAACAAUUAACUAAAAAAAUAAGUUCAGGGGGGUAAUAGGACCUUAGUAAAGGUUAGGUGUGUCUCAGGGAUUUUGGGCAUAGGCUGAGGGGGUACUUAUGCAUUUUCCCGACUAUAUAUUACCAAUUAUAUAUAAUAGUUGUAUGUUUGUGUCAAUUCCUCGUAAAUUUUCAAAAACAAAACUUCUAACUUCCCUCCAUCCCAUAUACACCAUUCAUCCUUUUCCUAACGAAAAUAUUUUUAUAUUUAUAAUUUGUAAUAAAGAAAGGAUGAAAAAUAAUAUGUUAAUCAUUUAUUUAUUAAAUUAAUUUUAAUACUAGAAAAAUUCUUAUCAACACGUAAUGUUUAAUAAUUUUCAUAUGUACUUCCCUGGUUGUAUAUGAGUUGAAUCAAAAAUAUCAAAUGAAUGGUUGUUUUCAAUCAGCUAAUUCAAACGAACUUUUUUAAGUAUGAGAUUCUUUGUAGGUGAUUUUCAUGUAAUUUCUACAAACUUGGAACUUAGACUCUACUCAUACGCUAAAAGAAUGCCGCGUGGGACAUAUAACUCUUAGCUUGACUCAAUUUUUAAUUACUCUCUAGUCAAGUCUAGUCCUUCAAUAUGCCAACAAAACGACAUAUACGAAUAAAAAAAAGGACAAAAAAAUGUAAAUUGACUUCAUUAAUUAAGAAAGUCUUUUAAUAAUUCAUUAAUUAAGAAAGUCUUUUAAUAAUUCAUUAAUUAAGAAAGUCUUUUAAUAAUUCAUUAAUUAAGAAAGUCUUUUAAUAAUUCAUUAAUUAAGAAAGUCUUUUAAUAAUUCAUUAAUUAAGAAAGUCUUUUAAUAAUUCAUUAAUUAAGAAAGUCUUUUAAUAAUUCAUUAAUUAAGAAAGUCUUUUAAUAAUUCAUUAAUUAAGAAAGUCUUUUAAUAAUUCAUUAAUUAAGAAAGUCUUUUAAUAAUUCAUUAAUUAAGAAAGUCUUUUAAUAAUUCAUUAAUUAAGAAAGUCUUUUAAUAAUUCAUUAAUUAAGAAAGUCUUUUAAUAAUUCAUUGUAAUUACUUAUUUGCUAAAAGCUUAUGUGGAACUGUAAACAUAUGUAUAAUUAAUUACCUAAUGAAAAUUUAAAUGAAAACUUUUCACGCAUGCAAUGUAGUUGUAUAAUUAAUAAGGGAAACGUACUUUAUUAUAAAACUAGUGAACUUAACCGCGCUUCGCGUGAUUAGAAAUAAUUCGCUAAAUUCGUCAAAUAAUUAAUUUUUAGAAUAAUUGAGUGUUAAAAAUAUUCUAAAAAUUCUUUGUAAUGUUUAAUUCAAAUAUAUCAAAUUUCAUUCUUAAUUUAGUUUGUUAUUAGUACUUGUGUUUUAUAUAUUUUGGCAUUUUAAAUCGCUUAAGAAUCGUAGGUCUUCUGGAUAAAAAAGCCACACCGCUAAAAUUGUUCACCUUAUUUUAGAGAAAAUGGCCAAAUGACCCCCUAACAUAUUAGCCAAUUCUCAACUACACACUAAUACUUUACGGGGGUCCUAUUACCCCCCUGAAUCUUUUAUUUUUGAUAUUUUGUAAUCCUUAAACGCUAAUCUUUUGUCAUUAACCAAAUAUAUACACAUGUUUGUAUACACGCACGGGGCCCACUUCUAUCACUUUUAUUUUUCUUCAUAUUUUAGAUCCAGUGAGCCGUGGUCCUUUACUUUUCUCUUUUAAGUUAGAAUGAAAUUUCUAAUUUCAAACUAACCAAUAAUAUGUAUGAUUCAAUUGUGUAUCAAUCUUUCUUAUACAACUCCAAUGACAAGUAAUUUUUGUACAUCCAGAAAUGAUUUUUCUUAGUACUUCACUUUUUACCAUUUCAAGAAUUAAUUUUUCAAACAUUCAUUUUUGCNNNNNNNNNNNNNNNNNNNNNNNNNNCAGUGAGCCCAUUUCCUUUACUUUUCUCUUUUAAGUUAGAAUGAAAUUUCUAAUUUUAAACUAACCAAUAAUAUGUAUGAUUCAAUUGUGUAUCAAUCUUUCUUAUACAACUCCAAUAACAAGUAAUUUUUGUACAUCCAGAAAUGAUUUUUCUUAGUACUUCACUUUUUACCAUUUCAAGAAUUAAUUUUUCAAACAUUCAUUUUUGCAUAGCUUAUUCUAUUAGCAGAAGAACACAUAUUUAUAGUGACCCAAAUGAGUAAAAAUUGACAAUUUUUUAAAUCUCGAAGGGCAGAUCUAGUGAUGGAGUUUAUGAGUUGAAGAGGGAAAUAACUUAUAUUAUGGACAUCGACAAGGAGAAGAAAUUUCAAACCUUAUCGAUGAAUCUCAAUACCCAAAAAAUUUAUAAUUUUGAUAGGCAAGAAAAAUUUCGAACACUAAAUUUGAAAUUGGAGAGCAUUAGAGAGGAUUACGAACGCCACAACAUCAGUCUUUCAAAUGGAAGAUAUCAUUGUAAGCUUUGAAAUGGAAGAUGAUAAAACUCAAGCUUAAAAAUGGCAGAAAAGAGGAAGAAGAAAGAAGAUUUUUUCGAGAAAAUGGCAAAAAAAAUGCAAGCUAUAGCUGGCAGCCUUAAUUUUAGGUUGAUUUCAUCUUACACGUGGAUUUAAAAUGCAGAUUAUAUGCUUUAGAUAAGUAUCUACGCGCCUAAGGAAAGUGUAUUCACUUUCUUGGGCAUGUCAGCGUUUAAGGGCUACAAAAUAUCAAAAAUUAAAGAUCUAGGGGAUAAUAGGACCCCCGUAAAGUAUUGGUGUGUAGUUGAGAAUUGACUAAUAGGUUAGGGGGUUAUUUAACCAUUUUCUCCCUUAUUUUAAUUAAAAAAGGUAAGUUUGAUUUAAUAAGUUGAACUCUUCAUCUAUAUGUGUAUCUAUACAUAAGUUUUCCUUUCAUUUAUUUUGAAAUAUAUAUAAGCUUAUAUGCUUAAAAAUGUAAAUAUAUUUAAUAUAUAUUUUUUACGAAAACAUUUUUUUUUACAACUGUUUUUUGUUCUUUUAAAACGCAGAGUUAAUUUUUUAUGAUAUCAACCUAUAAAGGUAAAAUUAUACAUUAUGUUUACUUCAAUUAAAUUAGUGUUAAAGAUGUCCAUUUCCAGUGUAAUCACCCCUCUAAUAAUUCUUUGGUCUGCCUCUACUUUUUCUGAAACCAUCCAUAGUUAAACAAAACUUUUUUUCUUGAUAAAUAAAUAAACAUAUUUUAUUCUUAAUAAAAUAUUGCUCUUAAAGAAUCUUAUCCUUUAAAAUUUAUGGUUAAGACAUAAACUGUCUAAAAAAAUAUGUUUUGUACAUAAGACUUCACAAAGAAUAAAACUUACAAAAGAAAUCGUAUUAAAUUAUACAAAGAAGUAAAAUCGCCAGUCCUUUCAGAAUUGAAGAAUAUCAUAAGCACAUUACAUCACAAUUGUUUAUUUUCUCCUGCGCCUGCUUGACUCCAAUGCAUUGUAACUUAUAAUAAGUGAACUCUAGUAUGUAUCGAGCUCAUAUUAAAUUUACAUUCAUACAAGAAUUCAAAUUAGAAAUAUGAAUAGUAGUAAUAUAUCAAAAGAAUUUUAUUUAUCAUACUCUCAAUAAGUAUAGUAUUUGAACAGUGAUAUAUACAAAUUAACUUGUUGAAUCAUUAGCUUCGAAAGUUAAGAAGUCACAUACUAUUUGCAAGAUUAUUGAUACCAAUACAUGUCAAUAGUUUCAUUAAAAGUGUAGGUAUUGGGGAGUGUUGUCCGUUUUUACUUCCAUUGUAAGGUCAUAGACACGUUUCUUUGUAUAAUUGUGGAUAAUAAUUAUAUGUAACGAUAAAAAAUAUUUUUUUGAAUUAUUUUAUAAAAAAAAUAAUUUAUCUGAUUAAUUAUUGAUAAAAAUGAGAUCAAAAGUAAAAAAUAAAAUAAUAAAAAUAAAUAAAUAAAUUCUAUUUUUAGAAAAAGAGAGGUGUUACAUCACUCUUCUAACUAAAAAAUAUAUGUAAUGUGAGAAUUACGUAAAAAGAAUUGAUGAGACAUAUUAAUAAAUAGAGAAUACAAAACGAUAAAGGUUUUUUUUUAUAACUCAUGAGAUAUAUAAUUGAAUGUAAUAAAUAUAAUAGAUUCUUUAAAUUAUUGGUUAUGUUAAUUAAUGAAAAUAAAUAAAUAAAUGACUUUCUAGAUCAUAAAAAAUGACCACACCACUUUAUCUAUAUCUAACUUUACUAUAGAUAUAAAUGUGACAAGAGUAGUAAGACAUUGAUGCAAUCAAAUCUGACAAUUUAAACCUUUCUAAACAAAUCACAAUUUCAGGAUCUUAAUUAAGAAAAAGAAACAAAUUAAUUGAUUAUAUAUGUUUCAUUCUUGACAGUUGACAUUUUGGAAUUUCUCUCUUUUACUUUUUUUUUUUUUGUAUUUUUGUUCCUAUUAUUUUUCAUUUGGAUAAUUUUAUUGUAUUUAUGUAAUUCUAUCUCUUUUUUUAGUUACAUUUCAAAAUGAUUUUCGGUGCCACAUUUUUCCACAUCCCUUUUCAAUUAUUUAUUUUUGCCUAUUUAAUAUUUUCAGUAUUUUUCCUUUAAGAUAGUUAAGUUAGUUCAUUUUUUUGCUUCAACUAAUUUUAAAGGAAAAUUCAAAAAUUAAAAUUUUCUGUUAGUUAACUUUUUUUUAUAUUUGUUAUGAUGUAGAAUUAUAUUGAUAAUUAUAAUUGAUCAUUUUCCUUUUCUAUAUCUAUUAUUUAUUUUAGAUUAUGAAGAUCACAUGUCAAUAAAUUAAAAUACAUCAAAAAAAAAUAUUCUAUUGUUUCUCAAGAGUUUUUUUUUGAUGAAAACUUUAGUGAUCGAUCUUACUUUUAUAAUUUCGUAUGACUUUUUUCAAAUCUAUCUUUCAUUGUUUGUACACAUUUUUUUUUGUUUGCAUCUUUCUCGCAAAUACAAAUAUUAAAUCAAAUUUAGAAAGCUCAAAACAUUAAACAAUAUUAUCUCCUUGAUCAUCAAAUAAAAAUAGUUCUAAAAUAUUUGUUGAGAUUUGAGUAGGAUCAAUUACAAUUUUAAAUAAUUACUCUUUCAUACAAAAAUGAUAGUCUCUUCAUACUUAUUUUUUUUCCUUUUAAUAUUUUAUGAAAGUUGUUAUUCUUCUCUUUAAUAAUGAAUCAACCUUUUUUUUCACCUUUCACUAAUCUUAGCUUAUAAAAUAUUUAUAAAUCACUUUUUAUCUUGACUAAUUUUUACUACAAUUAUAAUAUACGACAUAUUUUAUUUAUAUAAAAUGAAUAGAUUGAGAAAUACAUAACCUCAAUUACAUAAAUACUAUAAAUUAUUCAAAUAAAUUAAACUCAAAGUAUUAAAUGUAUAAAUUAAUAUUCCUUUAACUUUAGUUAUAUGUUAGUUAAUAUUUCUAAAUUAUUCUAAAAGGUAAACAUAAGCAAAAAAUAUGGAAUUCUUGAAUUCUCAAAUUAAUUUUAUUAUUCUCAACUUAAUAUAACAACACAAAAAUUAAAUUCAUUUUUUGUGAAGGAAAAAAAACAUAUACAAUGUUGAAUCAAUUAAAAAAAUCUUGAAGGUCUACGAACUAAACGAUUCAAGCCUUCAAGGUUAAAAACAAUUUAUCUGAAAUUUUAAAAAAAAAAUUAGUAUAAAAAUAAAUUAAAAUUAAUUAAUAAAUAAAAGAAUCUUUGUAGAAGUACCAAGGAAGAUGAUCCUUUCCUCUAAUAUUUAAUUUGUAAACAUAACCAACAUCCAAUAUACUACUGAAGAUUAAUGGACAAAUUAGUAAUUCCUAAGGGUUGCAAGCCCAUCCAAUUCAAUUACACAAAAAGAGAAACCUAUGUCGAUUAAGAAUCGAAAGUCGUCGUUCGUUAGACAAGGCCCACGUGCUGUGCAUCUCUGGUGUUCUGCUCGUGGAAUAGAAAGAGUUCGUUGCAUCAACAAAGUGUAUUAGUCAAAAAGGCUUACUUAAGCUUAUCGAUGUGUACUCCUACGAUCUUUCCGGAUUAGGGAGCAGAGUAUGAACCUGAAACCAAUAUGAAAGAAAGUCAUCAAGCAAGAUAGCAAGUGUCAAGUGUAGGUCUCCCAUUCUAUUACUGGGAGUUAGAGACGAAUAAACCUCACUUAAGGUUUGUUACCCACCGGAAUGGAUUGCGCUUUUCUUUCCCACCGGUUUCAGAGCGCUGUUUUCAACCCCAUGAGGAGUCAGUCAAUGCACGAUGAGGAACUACCAACCGGUAACCAAUUGACGUCGGAUUCCGGUGAAGCGAAAAGCGCCUUUACCUUUAGUUGGAAAUAAAUAUAGGUCGGAUUUCCACUUCUAUAAGCGAACUCAAACCACAAAUGUUAUCUGUCCUACCGGUGAGUUACAGUUAAACGCCCUACUCGCUAUACCGUUAGUGACGCUUAUCACGCUUUCAAUCGGUUAAACACAUUCUCUUACCCGUUGAACUUAUUACUUUCCAGGGGAUCCUUUACUGAUUUAUUCUUCAAACUUAAACUUAAAUCCCUAAAUAUUAUCAUAUGCAUCUUCCAUUAUAAACAAUAAAACUUAUUCACAAAAAAUAUGCAUGGAAUAAUAAGUGUAGUAAAAUCAAUAAUAAUGAGGGGGAAAAACAACACAAAUGAAAAAAUAAUAAUAAGAAAGAACACUAUAAAUAAGAGACAUCAAACAAACUAAAAUGAGAAGAGUAACACAAAUUAUAUAUAGUACUUAUCAAAAUUGAAUUUGAAUUUGGAAUCCCAAAAUUGCCAUAUGCUCAUCUUAUCUUCUACACCGUAAAUAAUAGAAGUUAGUGGCAAAUAAUAUACAUAUAAUAAAAUUAGCCGUAAACAAAGUGAUGUACUUUAGUAUAAAUAAAAUGAAGAAAGAAGAAGAAGAAAUUCUUACUGUUGGUGAAGAUGAUAUGCUCUAGUAUUUAUAGUAAUCAAUAAAUUUGUAACUUUAUUGAAUAAUAUAAAUUAAAAGAGUAAUAUAGUAGUCAAUAAAAUUGUAACUUAUAUUGAUAUUAAUGUCUUAAUUGUAAGUUAGUAAUAUCUUUAAGAAGGAAUGGAGAAAGGUAUUAGAAAAAAGUGAUUAAUGAUGUUAAAUGGUGAACAAAAUAAAUAAAAUUAUAGUUAAUUUUUGCAAAAUAUUAAGGCAGGAAAAUAAUGAAAAAGGCACAAAAUGUAGAGAGGAGAAAAAAAAAGGAUGAAUAAGAAAAGGGCAAUAAAAGAUUUUAUUAAUUGAUUAGUUGGGCUAAUAACGGAAAAAGGUUGUUUUUUUGGGCUUUAUUGAUUUCAGUUAGUGACCUUUUUCCAUUCUUCAAUAUAAUAUAUAUAAUAAUUAGCAAUUAAUGUAAUAACUUAUAGACACUAAAUUAAUAUGAUUACUAAAUAGAAUAUGAUUAAUUCUUUAAUAAAAAAUAAGAUAAAAUAGAGAAAAAAAAAGUCAAAAAAAUGAGAAAAAUGAUAAUUAGCAAUGGAGGCCUUAGAGAGGUGUCACAUCACCUUUUUUACAUUUGGCUUUAUAUUAUAUAUAGAUUGUUUUUAAUAAAGAUGCCAACAUGAGCAUGUGGGGAGGUUACGAUAGUGCAGUGCAUGUGGGGAGGUUACGAUAGUGCAGUGCAGUGGUAAGUCGUAAGGGAUUUUGAAUUUGAGUCUAUAGUAUAAAAUUGUUUUUGAUAAAGAAAGUUUUAUUUUUAAAUUAGUAGAAUUUUUUAAUAUAAAUUCAAAUUAGUUGGACUCUAAAAUAAUAAUCGAACACUGAGUUAAGAAAAAGAGAGGAACAUGUGGGGAAGUUAUUGGAACGUUACAUAUUUUGUUCUCAUCAGAAUAUUUAGGCAUUAUUAUUGUAUUCGUUAAGAGAGCAUGUUAAACUUUACUAGUUAAGAAAAAGAGAGGAACAUGUGGGGAAGUUCUUGGAACGUUACAUAUUUUGUUCUCAUCAGAAUAUUUAGACAUUAUUGUUGUAUUCGUUAAGAGAACAUGUUAAACUUUACUAGUUCUUUAAAGGAUAUUCGUAAGGUAUAUUGUUCAAUAUAAACUUUGUUUUGUUGGACAUAUAUAAAUUAUAUUUAGUAUUAUAUUUUUUCAAUUUAUAUGAUAUUUUUUCUGAUUUAUUGUUUCAAUUAAAAUGACGUCUUUUUAUAUUUAAAGUGUUUUUUUAAUUUAUCAUUAAUUAAAUGAAUUAUAGAUAUAAAAAUUCCUAUGACUUACUUACAUCCAAGUUUUAAUAACUUCUUUUAAACAUUUCACAUCAAAUUAAACAAGAUGGAUAACUAUUUUUUAAGCCUUGUUUGCGAGGAAAACUUAUACUACUUACUUUUCAUUUACGAUCUCGACAUUUUAUAAUAUGUUAGUUAUUAUCAAAUUGAAAUUUAUGAUUAAAAAAACUUACUAUACGUAAGACUAUUACAAGUCAUUUAUUUAAUUGUAUUCAUAUCUUUUAUUCUGUGCAUUGAAUAUAGACUCUGCGAAUAUUAUAGGUCUACGAAGACUCGGAUGCUCAGUCAAAGUUGCAUCACCUUCAUUUUCAUACUACAAAAAAAAAAUAAAAAAAUCUAUAUAUGAGAAAAUGAAAAAUAGUUUUAUAUAUAUGAGAAUAUGUAUAAAAUAGUCCCUAAAGUUUAGUUUUGGUUCUUUAAGUUUAUCAAAGGUUAAUACUUUUGAUUUCGUCAAAUAUUUAACGUACUUAAAAUGUUAAUACUUUUGAUUUUGUCAAAUAUUUAAUGAACUUUAGUAAUUUGAUUUGAUGAGAUAUACGAAGUAUUUUUUAGUCAUAAAAGUAAGAAAGUCUCAUCAAAUCCUAAAAAUCUCAAUAUAAAAAACUACACUAGAUAAAAUUUGUACAAAACAAUACACCAAAUUCUAGAAAGAAACCAAAACUUACAAAAAUAGUAACUCCAAAUGCAAUUUCCACUAAAAAAAAUAUUGCUUUCCGUUAAAUCAGACGAAAAGUAAUACCAACUCUUUGCAAACUUUAGGGACCAAAACAGUUCAAAUCAUCAUACUUUAGGGACAAUUUUGUUAUCAUUUUUUUCACUAUUUGGCCUUUUUUCAUCUAUUAAAACCAGAACUUCCUGCAUGAUAUAUCACCAAAAUAACACAAACAUCAAUAGAAGUUGAUUACUGGUCUUUCUCUUUAAUAAAUACCCUUUUGUACCUACCUACCUACCUAUCUGCUCAAAUGUCUCUCGUCAAAAUUCAAACCAACACUCAUUUGCCCAAACGCAUAAUCCUGGUCCGUCACGGCGAGUCUUCAGGAAACGCCGACAGAAAUGUGCGCGGAACAACUCCAACUCACAAAUUUGAACUGACGGAGAAAGGGAUUGAGCAGGCCAAGCAAACUGGAAUCCGAAUUAAGAAACUGAUUUCUGAAAAUGAUAACAAUUGGAAGGUUUUCUUCUAUGUUUCGCCUUUAGAGCGAACGAGAAAGACGUUGAGAGAGAUCGGCGGAUCGUUCCCAACGAGGAGAGUGAUGGGUGUGAAGGAAGAGCCUAGGCUGAGAGAUUUGAAUUUUGGAAACUAUCAUGACCCUGCAAGUAUAGGAAAGAUUCAGAAGGAACGAUUUACGUAUGGGAGGUUUUAUUAUAGAGUACCUGGUGGUGAAACUGGAGCUGAAGUUUAUGAUCGUAUAUCAGGUCAGUUCUAUUGGUUUUUUCUACGACUUAAUGGUCAAAAUCACAAUUCAAUAUUGUUUUUUUCUCUACCCUAAUUUGUUUCCUUUUUCUACUUACAUAGUAAUUCACAGUUGAGGUGUGUUUUGUUACUGGUGAUAGUUCAAAUGGGAAAAGAGAACAAUUCAUAGUUAGUUAGAAUAUAAUAUUCGCAAAAAAAUGAUAAUUUAGAUAUGUAUUUGGCGAAAAAGUUAUAAUUCUGAACAGGGUGCUUGUUUGUCGUUGUUAUGCAUUUGAAGUGCUCUGUUUUUCAUUUUAAUUUCUUGAACAUAGUUUAGAUGUUUCUUUUCCUUCUUGAGCUAUAUAUGCGUUACCUUGACAUUUAAUUGAAGUGUAUAUAUAUUUAAGUAAACACGAACUUAAUUUAUUGACUAGAAAUAAUAUGAUUUGACUUUUUUACAGUUUAUAAGCUGAAAGUCGUCUCCUUAUGAAAAAGUUAUAAUAAUAAUAAUAAGGAAGUAAAUUAGGUGGUGACUUUAAAGGAACAUAUACUAAGAUUUCUUGUACUAUCAAUAUAAUUCAACACAUUUAAUCGAGUUUAAGUUACAAACAUCAAUGGUGUAAGAAACCCUUCCACUCAUUCAAAGGAUGUCUAUAAGUAAGCCUCGUCCUGAUGAUGAUAUAACCUAAACUCUUUCCUAGACUACCAAUCAAUAUAUGUUAUGUAGAGAUUUGAUUAUAAUAAUUACCUUAGUCGUAAAUAAUAAGAUGAUUGUGUAAAUAUUUUCAAGACGAAUAGUAUAGUAAUAACAUAAACUCAUACUAUAACAAUAUGUAGGUUAUAUUGAAUGCUUGAGGAGGGACAUAGAAAUGAAGAAAUUCGUCUGUCAUGAUCCUUGUCAAGAAACCAACAUCAUCAUCAUUACCCAUGGACUAUCCAGUCGGAUCUUCCUCAUGAAAUGGUUCGACUGGACGGUUGAGCAAUUUGAGGUUCUCAAUAGGAUGAGAACUGGUGAAUUUCAAGUGUUGCAAUUAGGGCAUGGCGGGGAACUCUUUUUUAGACUAUCAAUCAAUAUCUGUUAUGUAGAGAUUUGAUUAUAAUAAUUACCUUAGUCGUAAAUAAUAAGAUGAUUGUGUAAAUAUUUUCAAGACGAAUAGUAUAGUAAUAGCAUAAACUCAUACUAUAACAAUAUGUAGGUUAUAUUGAAUGCUUGAGGAGGGACAUAGAAAUGAAGAAAUUCGUCUGUCAUGAUCCUUGUCAAGAAACCAACAUCAUCAUCAUUACCCAUGGACUAUCCAGUCGGAUCUUCCUCAUGAAAUGGUUCGACUGGACGGUUGAGCAAUUUGAGGUUCUCAAUAGGAUGAGAACUGGUGAAUUUCAAGUGUUGCAAUUAGGGCAAGGCGGGGAAUACAGCCUAGCAUUUCAUCAUGAUGACAAAAAACUUCGCGAAUGGGGACUAUCUCCUGAUAUGAUAGAGGAUCAAAAAUGUAAAGCUUAUGGUCCUACAGGAGUUAAAUGGCAGGGAACUUGUGAUUCAUAUCCUUUCAUGGAUUGUUUUGCAGAAGAUUCAGAUGAUGAGAAUACAUUAUCUAAAUUAUAAGUACUAGCUAGCUAGUAAUCGUCCCUUUUAAGUAAAAUUAUGGUGUAAUUGGAUUGUUAUUAACUUAAACUCCCUCUCUGUUUUAGUCUUUACCUGUAUGCUAAAUUUGAUUGUUAUUAACUAUAUAUUCUCUUAUUUUAAAGAACUACAUCUUCUUAAUAACUUUCCAUUCUUAAGGAACACCUAAUAAAUAGAGGUAACUUAUAGUUAUAAUGAACGUGAAAUAAGCUAAAAUGAUACUUAUUUUGGGACGAGACGGAGAGUAGGUUUCAACUUUUCACAUUUGCUUUACUAAUUAGGAUUAUGAGGUCGACAAAUUCUGUUGUCUUCUUCUUUCUUUUUAAAAUAUGAAAUUUGUUUGCGUGGAUUUGAAUUUGAAAGAGUUUGGCAUGAUUGUUACUCUUUUUUAUUUGUUUCUUUUCCUUUUGCUUUCUAUACUUUUAGUUUAUGGUGGGUGUCCUUUGAAUUAGUAAAAUAUUUAUAUAUUUUUCAAUUCCUUUUCCCUUUCUUUAUGUCAGUAUUAUUUCAUUUUACCUGUCUGAAUUCUCAUUCAACAAAUCACACAGUACUGGCUCUCAAUAUAUAUAUUCCCAUGGGAUAAGGACCCCUUCAACAUAAAAUUCGACAAGUCCUUUAGGAACAACACUUUUAACAUGCGAUAAGAGGGCCGAAUAUGCUCUGAACUAUGCGAAAAGGAAUAAUUUUACCCCUAGAUUAUGAAUUUAACGGUACACUUCUACAAAUCUGUUUAUGUCUGUCCUGUUGGUAUGUAGGCUCAGAAGAUUCAUUGGUGCAAGAAAGACAUAAACCUUUUACUCAAACAAAAUCCAGUCAUGUACUGUAACUGUCUCUAUAGUUGUCCAUUAGGCAGCUACCUAAAAUUAAGCAGGCAACUCGACCUGUCUUAUGUCUAAUCUUACAAGUUCACCAAGUCCAGGUAGUGUUUUCUCCCUAAAAAAUCACAAACUUUAGCAGUUACCAACCAUGGAUGUGGUACAGUGGUGAACUGCUUCACCAUUAAACAUACCUUAGAAGUUUUGGGUUCGAGCCCUGAAUAUGGAGAAAAUCUUAUUUAAACUGCGCGAUUCAAAUUUAGUCAGACUCCAAUGGGACCCGUGAGGGAAACAAAAAUAAAAUAAAAAAUCUAGGUAGCGAUACUAUAGUUAUACUCAUUUUUUUUUUCUUUAAUGGCUUUUAUUAAUUAAUUUAUUUAUUUUUAAAUUUAAACAAGGCUAAUAGCCUGUUUCGCCAAAUUCUUAAGAAGUUAAAAAUGUUUAUUUUAGAAAAUUUAGGUAUUUGGUCAAGUUUUUAGGAAAAAAUGUAAGUGAUUUAAGUAGUAGUAAUAAAUAAGUAGUUUUUUCAAAAAUUGUUACUUACACUUUUUUUUUAAAAAAAAAUACAUCUUUCCAUUUUAGGGACAAACAAAUUGAUACGACAUUUAUUACUUUUUUCAGGACAAGUGAAUAAUUACUUACAAAUUUGGGGACCACGUAGGAACACUAAAUGACAUACGUGGACCAGAUUGAUUGGUCUACUGAAUAACUCUAUUUUCCCGGUUUUGAUUAAAGUUUAAUUUGGAUUGUGAUUAGCACUAAAACACAUCCAUUGUUAGUGUUUGAAUGAUGAUCAAACGCUACCUUUGCUAUUUUAAAAAAGCAGAGACUUGUUCUUCACUACCUAAUUCCUUCUAUUUUCUCUCUUCUACAAAUGUUGCAUUAUGUUUAACCAACUCCAUAUAUUUCGUCUCUCUUUUUUGGGAUCUGAGUUACUUUUACUUUUCCUAAUCCACUAAAGCUAAUCACUAUUUGUGUUUUUUUCUCUCUCUCUGUAUUUUGGAUUUCAAGAAAGAGUUUGAAUACUACUCACUACAAUCAUUUGUGUGCUUGCUUAUACAUUCUUUUCGUUUGGUGGGUUGCAAGGCAUUAGGAUAUAGACCCAUUUUGUGAAGUGGGUUUUUGUUUAGACUUGCUCAAAUGAUUGAGUUUGAGUUUCAGAUUAUUAGAAAGUUUUGAUCUUUUUGACACAGGUAUGGAAAAUGUGUGUUUUUUUGGGUGUUUGAUAUGUGGGUUUCAGUGAAAAUCUGAAAAAUUGGGUGGGUGUUUGAUAUGUGGUUUUCAGUGAAAAUUUGAAAAAAUGGGAUUUUCAGAUUUGUAGUUUUGUUGUCUUUUUCUUGAUUUUGUUUUGAAAUUGAAAUCUGGUUUGGGUUGUUUGCUUGCUUGUUUGUUUUGUGUACUGACAGUUGGGUUUUGGAACUUUUGUUGUGUGUUUUAGGGGCACUUUUAUGGCUUAUCCAUCAGACCAUAGGUCCUCUAGUCGUGGGACUGUGAGAUUUGUUUUGGUUCUGGUGGGUUUGUUUUUGGUUAUUUACAUGGUGACAACACCAACAUUGCGGCACUCUAAGGCUUUGUCUUCAUGUCCUCCAUGUUUCUGUGAUUGUGAGGAGGAUCCCAUGUUCUCGCCUAUAGGUCAGUUUAUCUCUCUUUGGAUGCUAAAUCUUGCUCAUCUACCUUUGAAAUUGUGUAGGUUGUGUACUUAUGUUGGCUGAUUUGAUUCUAAUGACUAAAAGUAAUGCCUUUUACAUAUUGAGACACUUAGUUCAUUUAAAGUUGAGUUUCUGCUUUUAGUAAGAAGUGAUAUUGUUUAAGGUCUAUGUAUGAACAAUUUGAUUAAGAAAACUUGUAUAGCCUUCAUGGGGUUGCUUGUCAUCCAAAUUGGUGAACUAUGGUCCAUUUUUGUAAUAAGUAUUAACCAAUUGAAUAAACUGGCAGGAUUCUCAAUUAAUAGUACCUUAUUUUUACCACUUAUAGAAGGUGGAGAAUGAACUAUAACUAAAUAUUAGAAGGAAUUCAUGUGAGUUGAAAACUUUUUGGUUCUUCCACAGGAGGAAGAACUGGAAAUAGACACAAAACCAUUCAUCCUAGCUCUAUUUUUGUUCAAAUGAAAUGCUUAGCCAAUUUCAUGCAUCAACCAAAAGGUCAUUUCUAAGUCGAUAUGUUCUUAUUGAGUAUGGCUAGAGAAUAUUCAUGACAGAAGUAACAGGAAUGAGUGAGCUGUCUUGUAUAUUUAAAGACUAUAUACAAAAAUCAAAUGCUUCGUAUUAUUAUACUUCCAUAUACAUAGCGAGGAUUUCAUACAGUCAAUCUUAAGUUAGGUCUUUCUAGAAUCCUCAAGAACUAAGUGAAUUUGCUUAGAAUUGCUGCAGGUUACUAUUCAUAAUAAAAUAAUUUUUAAUUACACAAAAUAUAUAUGAUUUAUUUUUUUUAAAAAUCUUUUUUUCUUUCGCUCCAUACCAAGUCAUACCAAUUCAUAUUAGUUGAAACGAAGGGAGUAAUCAUUACAAAAAUAAGCUGACUUCUUAAGUAUAUCAUUUUUUUUAAUUAUAUACAUCACGCUAAUAUUUGUAUUUCUAUUUUUGCAUCUUUCUUAUUUUAUCUACAAAUGACAAAUACAACGCGAAGUUGAAAAUCACACGUUCAAAAAUUCAAAUUCAAAUGUUAAUCCAUCACGUUCCCACUUCCAGCAAUGAACUAGAGGCUUGCAGACUAGUGUGUGGGGUGUGUAGCUACAUUAUGGCCAUGCUGGCCUAGUUUGUUAGUUUGUUGAAGCUUGUGAGUUGUUUGAUGUAUUGUCUUGACAUAUACAUGCUUUCAGUUUUGGUAUAGAAAUCAUGGUGGCCUCGACGUCCCAAUCAGGGUUUCUGUGCUAGUUUGCUAUUUCUUUAUAUGAACUCUUGGGAGUAGCUGUUUCGUUUAUAGAUCUGUUGACAGGGACCUUGUCGGCCGAGGGCUUAGUUUUAAGCCGAGAUAUACUUGUUUAUUUUAUUGAUUGUGUGUGACUGCCAUAUGCUAGUAGCAAAUAGUUCAGCAGGGUCAGCUCGGGCCUGAGUUUUGGCAUUAGGAGCCAGUUGCGCCCCUUGAGUUUGGGGCGUGACAGUUUUUGUGUGAGUUUUGAAUACUCCCUCGAAAAUUUAUAUGAUUCACUUUUCUUUUGAGUUAUUUCCAAAAAAAUGAAAUAUAUUUUUUAUAUUUAGUAACAAUUUAACUUUAAAAUACUCAUUUUAUUCAUAAUAAAAUAAUUUUUAAUUACACAAAAUAUAUAUGAUUUAUUUUUUUUAAAAAUCUUUUUUUCUUUCGCUCCAUACCAAGUCAUACCAAUUCAUAUUAGUUGAAACGAAGGGAGUAAUCAUUACAAAAAUAAGCUGACUUCUUAAGUAUAUCAUUUUUUUUAAUUAUAUACAUCACGCUAAUAUUUGUAUUUCUAUUUUUGCAUCUUUCUUAUUUUAUCUACAAAUGACAAAUACAACGCGAAGUUGAAAAUCACACGUUCAAAAAUUCAAAUUCAAAUGUUAAUCCAUCACGUUCCCACUUCCAGCAAUGAACUAGAGGCUUGCAGACUAGUGUGUGGGGUGUGUAGCUACAUUAUGGCCAUGCUGGCCUAGUUUGUUAGUUUGUUGAAGCUUGUGAGUUGUUUGAUGUAUUGUCUUGACAUAUACAUGCUUUCAGUUUUGGUAUAGAAAUCAUGGUGGCCUCGACGUCCCAAUCAGGGUUUCUGUGCUAGUUUGCUAUUUCUUUAUAUGAACUCUUGGGAGUAGCUGUUUCGUUUAUAGAUCUGUUGACAGGGACCUUGUCGGCCGAGGGCUUAGUUUUAAGCCGAGAUAUACUUGUUUAUUUUAUUGAUUGUGUGUGACUGCCAUAUGCUAGUAGCAAAUAGUUCAGCAGGGUCAGCUCGGGCCUGAGUUUUGGCAUUAGGAGCCAGUUGCGCCCCUUGAGUUUGGGGCGUGACAGUUUUUGUGUGAGUUUUGAAUACUCCCUCGAAAAUUUAUAUGAUUCACUUUUCUUUUGAGUUAUUUCCAAAAAAAUGAAAUAUAUUUUUUAUAUUUAGUAACAAUUUAACUUUAAAAUACUCAUUUUAUUCAUAAUAAAAUAAUUUUUAAUUACACAAAAUAUAUAUGAUUUAUUUUUUUUAAAAAUCUUUUUUUCUUUCGCUCCAUACCAAGUCAUACCAAUUCAUAUUAGUUGAAACGAAGGGAGUAAUCAUUACAAAAAUAAGCUGACUUCUUAAGUAUAUCAUUUUUUUUAAUUAUAUACAUCACGCUAAUAUUUGUAUUUCUAUUUUUGCAUCUUUCUUAUUUUAUCUACAAAUGACAAAUACAACGCGAAGUUGAAAAUCACACGUUCAAAAAUUCAAAUUCAAAUGUUAAUCCAUCACGUUCCCACUUCCAGCAAUGAACUAGAGGCUUGCAGACUAGUGUGUGGGGUGUGUAGCUACAUUAUGGCCAUGCUGGCCUAGUUUGUUAGUUUGUUGAAGCUUGUGAGUUGUUUGAUGUAUUGUCUUGACAUAUACAUGCUUUCAGUUUUGGUAUAGAAAUCAUGGUGGCCUCGACGUCCCAAUCAGGGUUUCUGUGCUAGUUUGCUAUUUCUUUAUAUGAACUCUUGGGAGUAGCUGUUUCGUUUAUAGAUCUGUUGACAGGGACCUUGUCGGCCGAGGGCUUAGUUUUAAGCCGAGAUAUACUUGUUUAUUUUAUUGAUUGUGUGUGACUGCCAUAUGCUAGUAGCAAAUAGUUCAGCAGGGUCAGCUCGGGCCUGAGUUUUGGCAUUAGGAGCCAGUUGCGCCCCUUGAGUUUGGGGCGUGACAGUUUUUGUGUGAGUUUUGAAUACUCCCUCGAAAAUUUAUAUGAUUCACUUUUCUUUUGAGUUAUUUCCAAAAAAAUGAACAUUCUCAGUUCUCACACACCUUUGAAUAUUAUAAUUGAAGCUUUGGGUCUCGCCACAACUUUGCUCUUGUCAUUCAAUUAUUCAGUUUUUUCUAUUGAUUGACAUCAAUUGUUAUUCCAAUUGAAAGUAAGAUGCAAUCUUUAAAUAAUCGUUAAUUAAAUAGAUAAUGGUAUCCAUAAUAUGAGUUUAUCGUUUAAAAGAAUGUAGUGUAAUUGAUAGAACUAACAGUCUGAGACUUCAAGUUACGAUAAGAAUAAAAUCAAGUAGUCUGCUUUCAGCAUAAGCAAGUUGGUAAAACAUGAUGACAUAAUGGAAGUUAUAGUACUAUUUUACAUCAAGAUUGAAUUAAACGUGCUUGUCUGAUUUUUUUUUCUUUUGAAAGGGAUAAGAAACUCAUAGCAGUUUGCUCUACAAAUCUUAAUUUUGAAUGACCAUAAAUCCUUGGAACAGGAUUUAUAUUGAAUCCCAGCCAAUAUACAGAAAGAACCAAACCUUUUUCUGCUUUAUAUCUGCUAGUGUAGUAAGCAUCUUUUCCAAGGCAGUAUUAAAUUCAAUCUUAUGCUUGAUGACACUCAACACCGCCGAAGAAAUUCAUAUCUUCAUUGCAACAAUCACUAAUAUUUUUUACGGGAGAGAAAUUCUGAAGGAUGACUUGAACUAAUAAUACCACCUUUUAAAGGAAAAGAAGUGUCUUCUUUCCUUCAAUACUCAAUGUUGGAAAGGUUCCCCAAGCUUUACUAGCUCAUAGGAUGGACUUGAAUUUUGUUUUCUGAUCGUAAUUCUGCUUAUCAAAGAUCCAUGUCUAGUUUAAAAUUAAAGUUUGGUGUGUUUAUUGCCUUAGUCUAAAUUAUAAGAUCGUCGGUUAAAACUAAUUCCAAUUUUUUGAGACCAGAAUGAAUUUGCUGACUUAAAUGGAUGAUAGUGAUAUGAUUCAAAUAAUUAUUUAUACACACUAGUGAUAUAAUAGAGACUGAUUUCUUUUACAUGUGUCCACCAAAAAUCCUUCUGUUAUGAUAGUAGUUGGUUUCUUUAAUUUGUUAUUUGAGCAAAAUGUAACUGGUUUGUUCAGUGCGUUGAAUCAAUGAGGAUGCAUUUGAAUUAAGCUGCAAUUCAGAAGAGUGAAGUUUGAUACUUAUUUUCAUUUGUAAAAUUUUGUAAUGCAGAUUUCCUUGAAACCCUAUGGAGGGAUGUUGAUAUGAACAGGCACCAUCACAAUCCUAAUAAGGAGUUGAAUCUUGUAAUUGUAUCCCAUGGUCUAGCUAGUCAAGUUUUUCUAAUGAAGUGGUUCAAGUGGACAGUGGAACAAUUCGAGUACCUAAACAAUCUAGGGAAUUGUGAGUUUCGAGUUAUGGAAUUAGGGGCGGGUGGUGAAUAUAGCCUAGCAGUCCAUCAUACUGAUGAAGAGAUGCUAGAAUGGGGUAUGUCCCCUGAGAUGAUCGCUGACCAAAAAUGGCGAGCUAAUGCUAACAGGGGUACUUUGAAUGAUCAUUGCCCUUGGUACCUUGAUGCUUUCUUUGACCAUUUAGCGGAUUCAAAUGACAAAGAUGAUGAAGAUGUGAAGUCAAACAACUAGUAUCUCCCCUUAGCAUGACAUUGAUAAUGUGUAUUCGUUCCAAUUCUGUUGUACUGUUCAUUUGGUUAACUGAUAGAAAUGUUUGUAAGCUCUUUUCAAGUUGUUGUUACAAUUUUAUGCCCGGAGGCAUUAUCAGUGUCAAUUUCUUGUAAAUUUGAAACUUUCAAUUGUAUAACAAUCAUUUGAUAUCAAGGAUGAAGUAUGAAUUUAGUUUUUGACUGGUAAAAUUAUGAUUUUUAAACAGGAUGAAGAUUGAUUUAGUUUUGACAGGGUCAAGUUACAAGUUUUAGACCAGUUUUCACUGCUGAGGUCGUUGUUUUAACUGACGUAUAAUGGAAGGUAAUGCAGAGUUGAAAGGACUUUGCAUUGAAAUUCACCUUAUCAAGUUCUCUCGAGUCUAAUUCUGAAAACUUUGACCAAUGACCAUUAUUUUGACAUGGAAUGAAAAAUUGCCACAUAUAAUUUUUUAAUAUCUAAAUUAAAAUUUUAAGGUAUUGAAUUGAUUCAAAGCUUAUAAGUCAAUUAAACUGACUUAUAAACAUUCAAAAUGCUUAUGAGCCAAAAUCAACAAAAGUCAUUAGUAAUCGACCUCAACUUAUUAUUUCUUCAGAUUAUAAGCACUUUUAGUUAUCGAGCCUUCACUCUUAUGCAAUAGUUUGCAAACCACACAAGAGAGGUAAUUCGCACUAGGUAAACCCAGUGCGACAAGCUCGACCCAGAAAACAAAUCCCUUGCUUUCAGUGGCAAGAGAUUUCAAACUUGAGACCUCCAAUAUGAAAGUCUCAAGCCCAAACCACUAGGUUACUCGAAGAGUCAUUUUAUAAAUAAAUUUUCAAAAACAAAACUUCUAACUUCCCUCCAUCCCAUAUACACCAUUCAUCCUUUUCCUAACGAAAAUAUUUUUAUAUUUAUAAUUUGUAAUAAAGAAAGGAUGAAAAAUAAUAUGUUAAUCAUUUAUUUAUUAAAUUAAUUUUAAUACUAGAAAAAUUCUUAUGAACACGUAAUGUUUAAUAAUUUUCAUAUAUACUUCCCUGGUUGUAUAUGAGUUGAAUAAAAAAUAUCAAAUGAACGGUUGUUUUCAAACGAACUUUUUUAAGUAUCAGAUUCUUUGUAGGUGAUUUUCAUGUAAUUUCACAAAUUUGGAACUUAGCUCAUACGCUAAAAGAAUGCCGCGUGGGACAUAUAACUCUUAGCUUGACUCAAUUUUUAAUUACUCUCUAGUCAAGUCUAGUCCUUCAAUAUGCCAACAAAAACGACAUAUACGAAUAAAAAAAAGGACAAAAAAAUGUAAAUUGACUUCAUUAAUUAAGGAAGUCUUUUAAUAAUUCAUUGUAAUUAUUUAUUUGCUAAAAGCUUAUGUGGAACUGUAAACAUAUGUAUAAUUAAUUAUCUAAUGCAAAUAUAAAUGAAAACUUUUCACGCAUGCAAUGUAGUUGUAUAAUUAAUAAGGGAAACAUACUUUAUUAUUUAUGGUAAAUUAACAGAAGGAUAUUCUCUUAUGAGUUAAUUAAUUAUCGUAAUUAAUUUUUUCCAUCUUCUAAAGAAAAUGACUUGAAAAGAUGUAAUUAACUUGAAUAUCUAAUUAGUUAAGGUAACUUCAAUUAAGAAACUUUGCCGUAUGUUUAGGGCCACAAUAUAAUUCUCCAUGCAGGACAACGUAAAAUUAAUCAAUAUUGCGACAGGUCUCCUACUUGUCUACCACAAAAAAAAAAAUUAAAAAAAAUAAUGACACAGAAGAUGCCAACAUGAGCAUGUGAGGAGGUUCCGAUAGUGCAGUGCAGUGGUACGUCGUAAGGGAUUUUGAAUUUGAGUCUUAGUAUAAAAUUGUUUUUGAUAAAGAAGGUUUUAUUUCUAAAUUAGUUAAAUUUUCUAAUAUAAAUUCAAAUUAGUUGGACUCUAAAAUAAUUAUCAAACACUGAGUUAAGAAAAAGAGAGGAACAUGUGGGGAAGUUCUUGGAACGUUACAUAUUUUGUUCUCAUCAGAAUAUUUAGGCAUUAUUAUUGUAUUCGUUAAGAGAGCAUGUUAGACUUUACUAGUUCUUUAAAGGAUAUUCGUAAGGUAUAUUGUUCAAUAUAAACUUUGUUUUGUUGGACAUAUAUAAAUUAUAUUUAGUAUGAUAUUUUCUCAAUUUAUAUGAUAUUUUUUCUGAUAUAUUGUUUCAAUUAAAAUGACGUCUUUUUAUAUUUUAAGUAUUUUUUUAAUUUAUCAUUAAUUAAAUGAAUUAUAGAUAUAAAAAUUUCUAUGACUUACUUACAUCCAAGUUUAAUAACUUCUUUUAACAUUUCACAUCAAAUUAAACAAGAUGGAUAACUAUUUUUUAAGCCUUGUUUGCGAGGAAAACUUAUACUACUUACUUUUCAUUUUACGAUCUCGACAUUUUAUAAUAUGUUAGUUAUUAUCAAAUUGAAAUUUAUGAUAUAAAAAGACUUACUAUACGUAAGACUAUUACAAGUCAUUUAUUUAAUUGUAUUCAUAUCUUUUAUUCUGUGCAUUGAAUAUAAACUCUGCGAAUAUUAUAGGUCUACGAAGACUCGGAUGCUCAGUCAAAGUUGCAUCACCUUCAUUUUCAAACUAUACAAAAAAAAAAAAUUAAAAAAAUCUAUAUAUGAGAAAAUGAAAAAUAGUCUUAUAUAUGUGAGAAUAUGUAUAAAAUAGUCCCUAAAGUUUAAUUUUAAUAGUUUUGGUUCUUUAAGUUUAUCAAAGGUUAAUACUUUUGAUUUCGUCAAAUAUUUAACGUACUUAAAAUGUUAAUACUUUUGAUUUUGUCAAAUAUUUAACGAACUUUAGUAAUUUGAUGAGAUAUACGAAGUAUUUUUUAAUCAUAAGAGUAAGAAAGUCUCAUGAAAUCCUAAAAAUCGCAAUAUAAAAAACUACACUAGAUAAAAAUUGUACAAAACAACACACCAAAUUCUAGAAAGAAACCAAAACUUACAAAAAUAGUAACUCCAAACGCAAUUCCCACUAAAAAAAAUAUUGCUUUCAUAGUUUCCGUCAAAUCAGACAAAAAGUAAUACCAACUCUUUGCAAACUUUAGGGACCAAAACAGUUGAAAUCAUCAUACUUUAGGGACUAUUUAUCAUUUUUUUCACUAUUUGGCCUUUUUUCAUGUAUAUAAACCAUGUGAACUUCGUGCAUGAUAUAUCACCGAAAUAACACAAACAUCAAUAGAAGUUGAAAGCAUGCUAGGGUUCUGAAAGUGUUCUAGAUUCAUAAAACAACUCUCUCUGUCACUGUCGCCGGAGAUUAUUAUUUCCCGAUCUGAUCGAAAGCAGGUCACCGGGAACAAUGGCGUUAGCUUUCGAUGAAUUCGGAAGGCCGUUUAUAAUACUAAGGGAGCAAGAACAAAAAACUAGAUUAAGAGGCCUCGAUGCUCAGAAGGCCAACAUUUCUGCCAGAAAAGCUGUUGCACGUAUUUUACGUACCUCACUUAGUCCUAAAGGCAUGGAUAAGAUGCUUCAGAGCCCUGACGGCGAUGUCACCAUCACAAAUGAUGGUGCCACCAUUUUGGAGCAGAUGGAUGUUGACAAUCAGAUUGGAAAGUUGAUGAUUGAGUUGUCACGAAGUCAAGAUUAUGAAAUUGGCGAUGGAACCACUGGAGUUGUUGUCAUGGCUGGGGCACUGCUAGAACAAGCUGAGAAGUUGUUAGAACGUGGUAUUCAUCCUAUUUGGAUUGCAGAAGGGUAUGAAAUGGCUUCAAGGAUUGCAGUUGAGCAUUUGGAGCGUGUAGCACAUAAGAUUGAAUUCGGUCUGAAUGACAUUGAGCCUUUGGUUCAAACUUGCAUGACUACUUUGUCAUCUAAGAUUGUGAAUAGAUGAUGCAAACGUAGCAUGGCUGAAAUUGCUGUUAAAGCUGUUUUAGCAGUUGCUGAUUUAGAGAGGAAGGAUGUAAACCUGGACUUGAUCAAAGUUGAAGGGAAAGUUGGUGGGAAGUUAGAGGACACAGAGCUAAUUUAUGGUAUUAUAGUUGACAAAGAUAUGAGUCAUCCACAGAUGCCAAAGCAAAUUGAGGAUGCGAAAAUUGCAAUUUUGACAUGUCCUUUUGAGCCUCCUAAGCCAAAGACUAAGCAUAAGGUUGACAUUGAUACUGUGGAGAAGUUUCAAACUUUACGCCUACAGGAGCAGAAGUACUUUGAUGACAUGGUCCAGAAGUGCAAGGAUGUUGGUGCUACCUUAGUUAUCUGCCAGUGGGGUUUUGAUGAUGAAGCUAAUCACUUAUUAAUGCAUAGAAAUUUGCCCGCUGUUAGAUGGGUAGGUGGUGUGGAAUUGGAGCUGAUAGCAAUUGCCACAGGUGGGAGAAUAGUACCAAGGUUUCAAGAGUU